rnacentral:rRNA from 1 species
AGUGAACGCUGGCGGUAGGCCUAACACAUGCAAGUCGAACGGCAGCACAGUAAGAGCUUGCUCUUACGGGUGGCGAGUGGCGGACGGGUGAGGAAUACAUCGGAAUCUACUUUUUCGUGGGGGAUAACGUAGGGAAACUUACGCUAAUACCGCAUACGACCUACGGGUGAAAGCAGGGGAUCUUCGGACCUUGCGCGAUUGAAUGAGCCGAUGUCGGAUUAGCUAGUUGGCGGGGUAAAGGCCCACCAAGGCGACGAUCCGUAGCUGGUCUGAGAGGAUGAUCAGCCACACUGGAACUGAGACACGGUCCAGACUCCUACGGGAGGCAGCAGUGGGGAAUAUUGGACAAUGGGCGAAAGCCUGAUCCAGCAAUACCGCGUGGGUGAAGAAGGCCUUCGGGUUGUAAAGCCCUUUUGUUGGGAAAGAAAAGCAGCAGGUUAAUACCCCGCUGUUCUGACGGUACCCGAAGAAUAAGCACCGGCUAACUUCGUG